UUCUGCAAUUGGACUACAGCUGAUUCUUGCUGGAUUCACUUAAGGUUGUGUUUCAAAGCAGCAGCAGGAAAACACCAGUCAGCCUCAAGAAGCUUUAUGGAGUUUUUCAUACUAAGGACCAAUGGGGUAAUACUGUGCCUCCAAUUGUCAUUAUACCCAAGAAUCAAAUUAUUGGAAUUCUGGACACAUCAGCACAAAACCGAAGACUCCCUGCCAAUUUCGUAGCCUGCUUGGAGGAGAACAUCAUAGAGCAUCACUCAUUUAUACGACUGCCAGCCUGAGAUUGUAAAUUCAGAAAACAAGAAGGCCUCAGGUGCUGCACUUUAACACGUCUUUCUGCUCCUGAAUCACCCCCCUCCUCACUACCCCCAUGUACAAGGUAACAUUUUAUCUCUGAAAGGCAAAGCUUUCAACCAUCUGCCGGGAUGAGCGCAGCCUCUGCAUGGCCUGAAUGUGAAUUGAAAAUGAGACUAUUAAGUCUAUUAAUUGAUAACAGUGACUUGUGACUUUGAAGGAGAUUCAUGACACUUGGAAAAAUAAUCUAUAAAGAUUUUUGUUGCUCUAAAAAGACGGCGCAGCAUCAGCUUAUUUCUCUUGCAGCAGGUUCAUCUCUUUUAUUGCACUGCAGGCAAUGGAAAUUUUAAUGGACACUGGGAAAAAUGAUCUAUUCCUCAGACCCACAACAGAAGAGAAACCAUAAAAAGGCAUAGAACAGAGAGAUGCAGAUAUGAUAUAAAAAAAGCAUUUAAAGAAUUGUAAUUAAAUUAAGAUUCACAAGUCUAUCCAUGAGACAAAGAUUAAACUGGCAGAAAGUUGAACCUUGUUUGAAGUAACUUGUUCCCCCCCUGCUGGGGGUUGUUUUGUUCCAGUCUAAUGAGAUGGCAUAUUUCUGAAUGGUUCUUAACAUAGCAGCAGAUUUCUGUCCAUUAGUUAAUCAACAUAUUUUGUAGCAGUGAACCACAUUCUGUUCAACGCCUUACAAGUGCCUUGCAAGCAGCAAUUCAUUGUUUCUUCCCUUUUGAAGAUACAAACCCCAUUCCAUAGGUGGGGAAACUGUGGCCCAAGAUUGACGUGACCUGCUUAAAAUUGCACAGUAGACAGACUUAUACCCGACCAGAACUUAAAUCUCCUGACCUAAGCAUGGACUGUUUUGCAAGUGCUAAGUAAGCAGGUAUCGGUAUGGCACGGCCUGACCUAUCCAGUGGUGUGGAUGCAGCCCCUUCACAUCCUCAAAUAUAGUCUGAGCAUCCCAGGGCAUCUUCAGAUAGCAUUUUGUAUGGAUACUUCCCGUGAGUUGUUGGGAAGUGAUUGGUACACUGAUGAUGUGUACUUCUCUCCUCUGUGAUUGAUGGUUAAAUGCAUACAGCUCAGCUGUACGUGUUGAAGCCUAUGGGGACAUUCGGUCAUUGGCUGUAAAAACUCAUGAACUUCUGCUAGAAUAAAUGCACCUAAUGAUGUCUAUGGUUUAUUCUCUGCAUACCAACCAUUUCACUAUUUGCAACGAUACUCAGGCAAUACUCAAAAUCUCUUUAAGCCCCCUUCUCUGUAUUCUUUGCAAACAGUAAAGGGAUGAUCAAAAAGCUGUUCUUGCAUGACUUCCCUAUUACAAAUUUGGCUUUCCAAUAUGUAAUUAUUUUUUGGUGGAAAACAUAUGAUGCAUGAAAAUCCCACUUUUCAGGGAAGAGAUAUUUCUUUUCUAAUGACAGGUUGAAAUGCCAUUUGCUGAGUGCUUCCUGAACAUCUCUGCUGUACUCUGAGGAGGUGUGAACACUGAAUUCCCCAGGAAUUCUUGGAGCUGGACCAGCAGUGAGUUUGACCCAACGUGCAAGAGAAGCGUGUUGCUCAGCUGAUAAGGGAACUGAGAACAUGCAUCAGCAAACACAGUUUGUUUAUCCCGUAAUAACUGGUUUUGAGUAGUACAGCAAAAAGUGGUUGGGUCUGCACGAGGCAGAUAAGAGCUCCUACCAAAAGGACGAGCAAAGGGCACGUGAGGCUUCCUGGAAACUUCAAAAGAGAAGCCUUCAGUGGGAAUGGAUGACUAAGGGAAUUGCAAAGGGUUUCUGGAGUCUUUUAUCUUUGUGCUACCUCUUCAAAUCCGGCUCAACACUUCAGUAAUUUAUUGUUGCUGUCAUCUGAUGAAUGUUCACUGGGCUCAGCCUUUCUCCUGCUGCACAGGUGUUCAGAGCCAAAAACUCCACUGCUGGAACUGCAGCUAGUGGUCGUCUUGUUAAGAAUCUCAGCUAACAACCCAAAGAGAGAACAUGUGGAGCUGAAAAGUGAGCGGCUAUCUGGUUCAUACAGAUGGCUUUUUUCAGGUGUGAAAGAAUCAGUGAUAGCAGAAUUUUCAAAGGGGCACAUGGUUGUUCUCCAUUUUCCUCAAGCAAAGAAAAGCUUUCAGAGCUUCUAGACAAAUGUAAAAGCUGCAUAUAAGCAACUGGGCUCCUAACACUUCCCAUACGAUCAUGGAAUGUUUCUCCAGUGCUUCUUUUCAUUGGGGUCUUUCACACAUGCCCUAGGAUGAAUCAUACACAGUGAAAAUAUUGUAAGCACAUGAAAUAAUGAAAAUUCCUAAAACUUUAUUAAAGACUUUUUGACCAAAUUUGAAAUCAGCCAUCUUGGGAGCAUGCAUGUAUGAUCUCCUGUGGACUCCUCAGAGCUAUUCUCUGUUAGCAUUACUCCAGCAUGGACAAAUGCACUCAUACAAAACAAGAGAGCGGGUAUCAGCAAUGCUGGGCUCUGAUGGAGGCCCCUGCUGACUACCCACUGCUCACAGAAUUUAAUGUGUCAGCUUUUGGAGACAAGGAUUGUUUCUUUCUAUGCUAUUUACACUCCAUAAAGUAAGCAAGUUUUUUUUGAAAAUUACAUGGAUGAAUGUUUACAUUUUUAAUCAUAUCUCACCUAUGAUUGAUGUCAAAGUACACUGUGUGAAAGGAAAACCAACUCUGAUCUAAGAAACCACAGGAAAAAAAAUAAAACUUGAUUAUGUCAGUUUGUGUUAAGGUGGAGGCCUUCCUCUGCAGAAAGAAAAAAAAAAGGAAAAAAAAAAAAGCAGAGGCUACUAAAAUUGCACUCUUAGCAAACAUAAAUAAAUGCCUGAGUGUCAUUUCAGAGUUUUUCUUUAUUUAUUUAUUUUUGCUAAUAAAGAAGACAAGCAUAGAGUCACUGAGUCCUGUCCAACAAAAUGUGGGGAAGAAGCAGAGAUGUCCUGGUGACAAUCUUGGGCAGCCACUGUAGACAAGAGCAGCCAUAUAGGGUCACCUAAUAAUUCCAAAUCUAUGGACCACAGUUUUACUAGCACAGCACACCUUCCAUAGCUCAUCUCUGCCCCAGGAUCUUCCGGGCUCAAAGACACUAAGAUAUGAGGGUUUAAUUCAUCCAGAACACCUCUGCACUAAGGGACCUGCCUGGGUCACUAUACUCUUCACACCUCAUC